UGGGGAAUAUUGGACAAUGGGGGCAACCCUGAUCCAGCCAUGCCGCGUGAGUGAUGAAGGCCUUCGGGUUGUAAAGCUCUUUUGGCGGGGACGAUGAUGACGGUACCCGCAGAAUAAGCCUCGGCUAACUUCGUGCCAGCAGCCGCGGUAAGACGAAGGGGGCUAGCGUUGUUCGGAAUUACUGGGCGUAAAGCGAGUGUAGGCGGUUGCCGUAGUCAGGUGUGAAAGCCUUGAGCUCAACUCAAGAAAUGCACUUGAUACUGGGUGACUAGAGGACCGGAGAGGAUAGUGGAAUUCCCAGUGUAGUGGUGAAAUACGUAGAGAUUGGGAAGAACACCAGUGGCGAAGGCGGCUAUCUGGACGGUUACUGACGCUAAGACUCGAAAGCGUGGGGAGCAAAACAGGAUUAGAUACCCUGGUAGUCCACGCCGUAAAACGAUGGGUGCUAGACGUUGGCGAGCUUGCUCGUCAGUGUCGCAGCU
rnacentral:rRNA from 1 species